AAAAACUGCAGAUGGUGACAAUUACUUUGUACGAUUAAUUGAUUAAUAGUGCAAUUAAUCAGUUAAUCGACUGAAUAAUUGAUUACUAAAAUAAUCUGUAGUUGCAGCUCUAGUUUCAAAAAAAGUUGCACAAUUUACUGAAUCAAAAUCAGCGUUAAAAUAAGAAAGUUUCCAACAUUGCGGUCUCUAGUGACUCUGUCCUGUGCAGUGAUGCAGCAAUGCCUCAGAGAAGUCAACCUGGGAAGUUCUGCAGUGACCCGACUUCCUGGAGGUUCUGAACUGGAUCAACGUUGAUUCCCAGUCAGGAAAAUCGAGCCUAAUGAGCAAAUCGACACGGAGCAGGAAGCAACUCGGGACUCGGACGGCAUGACGACUGUCGGCUGGUUGCCAUGAGCAACCGGCGAUGAGGACGGGUUCAGAUGAUCACAAACCCAGUCCUUCAUCAGGUCAGCGUUUGUGACGUGUUUGUGACUCCACACCAGACGGUCGAUUUAAAACGUUGUUCAGCUGUUCUAUGUUCAGUUUUUUACGUUAUUUUAUAUAAAUAUUCACUUUUUAUCUUAGUGAAAAGUUUUUACACCUGGUUUUUAUCUCCAUGUUAUUUUCUAAAGAAAGAUUAGGUCGACAUAGAAACACUGUGUGAAAAACUAAGUACACCCCACCAUUCAGCAGCCUGCAGGAAGACUUUUAGCACCAACAGCUCUCCAUAUAUAGUGUCAGUAUUUCAUAUUAUUAAGGAGAAAAUCUGGUUGAUUGUCUGUUUAUUAAACGUCUCAAACAUCAGCUGUCAGAUAAAUCAUCUCAAGUUUGACUCGGAAAUUCUUCGCACAAUAAAUCGCAAAAAUAUUGUGGUUGUAAUAUCAGUUUGUGCUUUUAUUAUUACUAUUUAUGUCGAUAAAGACGCUAUAUUGAGUGUUGGGAACUUGCAUUGUUCUUUUUUGGCUGAAGCGAUUAAUUGUGUUUAACAGUGAUUAAUCAUGAUUUAUUAAUUGUUAAAUUAAUUGCAAACUAAUUUAGUUAUUGAUUAAUAGUUAACUGGACUAUACAGACUCUAAAAAGGUCAUUUACUGAAAUAUAACAGAGCAGUAAUUAAAUCAAAAUGGCACAAAAAUAUUUACAUUUACCUUCUUUGUCUAUGAAUAUCAGGUCCUGAUAACCAAGUUUGUUCCUGAUUAAAUUAAUUUCUUCUAGCAGUUUUAACAAAUUUCUUCUGCUAAAAUUGCACCUUUUUCUGUUAUGUCUAUAUUCUCAUUAAAUAAAAGUUCUUGUUGCAUAUUUUGUCCUGUAACAUUUGAAAAUAUUUUCUGUGAUUUCAAUUCUCUUUCUGAGAAAAAACGUGAACAAAAACCCCACUGGAGUCAAACAAUGGGACAGACUGAAUAUGGAGCUAAAACCAUGUCAAAACAUCAACCACUAUAACACUAAACUAUUUUACUCACAUUAUACAGGGAAGAAGGAAAUUAACUGUAUAAUAUGUAUUAUAAUGAGUUUCUUCCUUCCUUCUGUUGUUUUGUUACUAUUAUUAGCAGAUUAUUGUUGUUACUUUACUGUCAUUAUUAUCAUAAUUAGUUUGUUUAAUUUGUUGGACAUAUAACACAAAUUAUGAGCGGCAGUCUGCUGUAAAACACCACGUCACCGUGCAGCCAUGAUGAUUCCUUUUUUUUCCCAUCUCAGAUUGUUUCUGAACUGUUGGUGCGAAACGUCGAUGGCAGAAGGUUUUGAGUGGAUCUGGGCUUUAGGUGCCAAACUGAACGGCGCCAGGAGGGCGAGACCAGCAGGUCAUCUGACCCGCUUAUCAAAACGUUUGUAACUUUAUGAAAGAACAACAACAAAAAACAAAAUCAACAUAACAUGCUCAAAUUAAUGACCAAACAAAAAUAAUAAUCUCUCUAAUUACUGUUUCAACAAGAUUUUGUGCAAUUCUGUGCAUUUUGGUUCCAUUACCAAAAUAA